rnacentral:rRNA from 1 species
GACGAACGCUGGCGGCGUGCUUAACACAUGCAAGUCGAACGGAAAGGCCCCUUUUGGGGUACUCGAGCGGCGAACGGGUGAGUAACACGUGAGUAACCUGCCCUUGACUUCGGGAUAACUUCAGGAAACUGGGGCUAAUACCGGAUAGGAAUCCUUGCUGCAUGGUGGGGGUUGGAAAGCUUCGGCGGUUUUGGCUGGCCUCGCGGCUUAUCAGCUUGUUGGUGGGGUAGUGGCUUACCAAGGCUUUGACGGGUAGCCGGCCUGUGAGGGCGACCGGCCACAUUGGGACUGAGAUAAGGCCCAGACUCCUACGGGAGGCAGAAGUGGGGAAUAUUGCACAAUGGGCGGAAGCCUGAUGCAGCAACGCCGCGUGCGGGAUGACGGCCUUCGGGUUGUAAACCGCUUUCAGCAGGGGCGAAGCUUGUGGUGACGGUACCUGCAGAAGAAGCACCGGCUAACUACGUG